UGCCUGGUCGGAUAAAAGUAGUCCGUCCGGUUGUUACCCGGAAUGUGCUGGUGCGAUUCCAGCCUGGGCAGCCA
rnacentral:tRNA from 1 species